CGCGGGCGCCUCGCCGUAAACCCCUCCCGCCGGCAAAAACAAGGAGAUACGGGAGGCACUGAAACGUUAACACCGCUCUGGGAGGCUCCUCUCUGCUGCUCGAUAAGGCAGCUGGGACAAGGAGGCAGACUGGCCCCCCAAAGCAGUAGUAAACUAAGAAAUUCUUUUAAAGGGAAUACGGCGCAAGAACUUUCCAGAUUGUUGUGUGCUCCCACCAUGGUUAGGACAUGAUUAUCGUACAAAGGGAAAACAGGGCCCUCAAGGUGUUUGCAUCAUUUCAGGAGGGAAAGCUUUCAGAAAACCACCAAAUUUUGCAAGAAUUGCUGUGAAAUCGGAAGAGGUAGCAACAGCGCUGUCAUGGAGACAAGGCUUGGCAUCGCCCACUUUUCCAUUUACCCCCCCCCCCCAGGAGGCUCCAGCCCAAAUUGUUUCUUCCUCCUGCAUAGAAGAAAUCAAGGAUUUCACCUCAUCAUGAUUCCCCAGAGCUCCAUAGGAGGAUAUCUGCUUACAAACAUCAUUAGAGAGCUGGGGAGUAGAAGUCAAAUUGGAGGAAAGGAAUGGAACAAGCUGCUGGGGUGACCUUUCUGAUGAGGAAGACAGCCAGCCUGCUACAAACUGGCCCGGGCCUAGCUGUAAGCUAAGCAGAUUCACUGUUGUGCAACUCCUCCGGCACCUCUGAGCUCUCGUACUGCCGAGACCACAGGAAUGGUUCCUUACGACCAAGUGCGUCCUGUCUCUGACCACAGACAACUGCAAAUAUCUUACUGGAAGGUAUAAAAACUUCACUGUCAAUAUAAAUAUUCAAACUGUUUAAUUAUAUCCCACUUUUAGUGUUUAUGGGAUCAGCACCCAAAGUGCUGACUUGCUGAUGCCCUUAAGCCUAUGGGACAAUAAGCCUUUUUACUUCUAUGCUGAGGAGUGUGAUUAUGAACAUAAUUGAAGCAAAAGCCAUUUUUAUUGUUUAGGAUACAGAAAAGACUAGGUUAGCAUUUCCCCAUACCAGAAGGCCACACUGUUGGGAAGCAUGAGGUAUAUACCACAGACCUGUCCUGAUUAGAAGGAAUAAAUCCGUAUCAGCAUAGCCAUGCAUCUGGAAACUGCUGGGAAACUGGUGUACUGCUGAGAAAGAUGUAAAUACAGGAAGGCUCCACAGAGCAGAAUCUCCCAAGAAACAUCUAGCCAAGCUUUAGUUUCUACAGCUGAGAGACUGAAAACAGCCAGAUACUCAGAUCCAUCAGAUACUUAAAUCCAGCUGAAAUCAGAUGCCUGAGUAUUUUUGAACUAAGGACUAGCCAAGCUCCCUGGGAACACAAAUCUCAGUGGCUCCUAGUGGCCACUGUCUCAUUUCUGAUCUUUUGUCUUUGAAAAUCAUCUUUGUUACCCACAGUAAAUUCUUGCAUGGACUCCUUUGCAGGCUGGCUACAGGUGUUGGGAGAGCAGGCUGGGAGCCUUGGUUGC